AUACGAAGGGGGCAAGCGUUACUCGGAAUUACUGGGCGUAAAGCGUGCGUAGGUGGUUGUUUAAGUCUGUCGUGAAAGCCCUGGGCUCAACCUGGGAAUGGCGCUGGAAACUGGGCGACUAGAGUGUGGCAGAGGGAAGUGGAAUUCCUGGUGUAGCAGUGAAAUGCGUAGAGAUCAGGAGGAACAUCCGUGGCGAAGGCGACUGCCUGGGCCAACACUGACACUGAGGCACGAAAGCGUGGGGAGCAAACAGGAUUAGAUACCCUGGUAGUCCACGCCCUAAACGAUGCGAACUGGAUGUUGGGUGCAAUUUGGCACGCAGUAUCGAAGCUAACGCGUUAAGUUCGCCGCCUGGGGAGUACGGUCGCAAGACUGAAACUCAAAGGAAUUGACGGGG
rnacentral:rRNA from 1 species